rnacentral:rRNA from 1 species
UACGUAGGGGGGCAAGCGUUGUCCGGAAUCAUUGGGCGUAAAGAGCGUGUAGGCGGUUCGGUAAGUCGGCUGUGAAAGUCCAGGGCUCAACCCCUGGGAUGCCGGUCGAUACUGCCGGACUAGAGUUCGGGAGAGGCGAGUGGAAUUCCUGGUGUAGCGGUGAAAUGCGCAGAUAUCAGGAGGAACACCAAUUGCGAAGGCAGCUCGCUGGAACGUAACUGACGCUGAGACGCGAAAGCGUGGGGAGCAAACAGG